UAGAGUUUGAUCCUGGCUCAGAACGAACGCUGGCGGCGCGCUUAACACAUGCAAGUCGAGCGCCCUGGGGCAACUCAGGGAGCGGCGAACGGGUGCGUAACACGUGGGUAAUCUGCCUCCGAGAUUGGAAUAACUCGCCGAAAGGCGAGCUAAUGCCGGAUAUGCUCACGAGGGCGAAAGCCUUUGGGAGGAAACGAGAAAUCGGCUCGGAGAUGAGCCCGCGGCCCAUCAGCUAGUUGGCGAGGUAAAGGCUCACCAAGGCGACGACGGGUAGCUGGUCUGAGAGGACGGCCAGCCACACUGGAACUGAGACACGGUCCAGACUCCUACGGGAGGCAGCAGUGGGAAUCUUGCGCAAUGGGCGAAAGCCUGACGCAGCGACGCCGCGUGUGCGAUGAAGGUCUUCGGAUCGUAAAGCACUGUCGCCCGGGACAAAACCCGCAAGGGAUGAUGGUACCGGGAGAGGAAGCACCGGCUAACUCUGUGCCAGCAGCCGCGGUAA
rnacentral:rRNA from 1 species